GACGAACGCUGGCGGUGUGCUUCACACAUGCAAGUCGAACGAGGUAGCAAUACCUAGUGGCGGACGGGUGAGUAACGCGUGGGAAUCUGCCUUUAGAUGGGGGAUAACGGGUCGAAAGACUCGCUAAUACCGCAUAUGACGAAAGUUGAAAGGAGUAAUCCGUCUAAAGAUGAGCCCGCGUCCGAUUAGCUAGUUGGUAGAGUAAAAGCCUACCAAGGCGACGAUCGGUAGCUGGUCUGAGAGGAUGAUCAGCCACAAUGGGACUGAGACACGGCCCAUACUCCUACGGAGGCAGCAGUGGGAAUUUACGCAAUGGGCGAAAGCCUGACGUAGCGACACCGCGUGAGCGAAGAAGCCCCUGGGGUGUAAAGCUCUGUCAGCUGGAACGAAAAAAAAUGACGGUACCAGCAGAGGAAGCAUCGGCUAAACUACGUGCCAGCAGCC
rnacentral:rRNA from 1 species